CCUACGGGUGUCAGCAGUGGGGGAUAUUGCACAAUGGGGGAAACCCUGAUGCAGCGACGCCGCGUGUGUGAAGACGUAUUUCGGUAUGUAAAGCUCUAUCAGCAGGGCAGAAAAUGACAGUACCUGAACAAGAAGCCCCGGCUAACUACGUGCCAGCAGCAGCGGUAAUACGUCGUGUGCAAGCGUUAUCCGGAUUUACUGGGUGUAAAGGGGGCGUAGACGGUUAUGUAAGUCUGGAGUGAAAGCCAGGGGCCCAACCCCGGGACUGCUUGGGAAACUGUGUAACUGGAGUACAGGAGGGGCAGGCGGAAUUCCUGGUGUAGCGGUGAAAUGCGUAGAUAUCAGGAGGAACACCGGCGGCGAAGGCGGCCUGCUGGACUGAAACUGACGUUGAGGCUCGAAAGCGUGGGGAGCAAACAGGAUUAGAUACCCGGGUAGUC
rnacentral:rRNA from 1 species